GAGGAACGCUGGCGGCGUGCCUAAUACAUGCAAGUCGAACGAGAGCGACCGGUGCUUGCACUGGUCAAUCUAGUGGCGAACGGGUGAGUAACACGUGGGUAACCUGCCCAUCAGAGGGGGAUAACAUCCGGAAACGGAUGCUAAAACCGCAUAGGUCUUCGAGCCGCAUGGCUUGAAGAGGAAAAGAGGCGCAAGCUUCUGCUGAUGGAUGGACCCGCGGUGCAUUAGCUAGUUGGUGAGGUAACGGCUCACCAAGGCCGUGAUGCAUAGCCGACCUGAGAGGGUGAUCGGCCACAUUGGGACUGAGACACGGCCCAAACUCCUACGGGAGGCAGCAGUAGGGAAUCUUCCGCAAUGGACGCAAGUCUGACGGAGCAACGCCGCGUGAGUGAAGAAGGUUUUCGGAUCGUAAAACUCUGUUGUUAGAGAAGAACAAGUGCUAGAGUAACUGUUAGCGCCUUGACGGUAUCUAACCAGAAAGCCACGGCUAACUACGUG
rnacentral:rRNA from 1 species